rnacentral:rRNA from 1 species
UACGUAGGGUGCGAGCGUUGUCCGGAAUUAUUGGGCGUAAAGAGCUUGUAGGCGGUCUGUCGCGUCUGCUGUGAAAUCCCGAGGCUCAACCUCGGGCUUGCAGUGGGUACGGGCAGACUAGAGUGCGGUAGGGGAGACUGGAAUUCCUGGUGUAGCGGUGGAAUGCGCAGAUAUCAGGAGGAACACCGAUGGCGAAGGCAGGUCUCUGGGCCGCAACUGACGCUGAGGAGCGAAAGCAUGGGGAGCGAACAGG